rnacentral:rRNA from 1 species
AGCGAACGCUGGCGGCAGGCCUAACACAUGCAAGUCGAACGAACCUUUCGGGGUUAGUGGCGGACGGGUGAGUAACACGUGGGAACGUGCCUUUAGGUUCGGAAUAACUCAGGGAAACCUGUGCUAAUACCGAAUGUGCCCUUCGGGGGAAAGAUUAAUCGCCUUUAGAGCGGCCCGCGUCUGAUUAGCUAGUUGGUUGAGGUAAUGGCUCACCAAGGCGACGAUCAGUAGCUGGUCUGAGAGGAUGAUCAGCCACAUUGGGACUGAGACACGGCCCAAACUCCUACGGGAGGCAGCAGUGGGGAAUCUUGCGCAAUGGGCGAAAGCCUGACGCAGCCAUGCCGCGUGAAUGAUGAAGGUCUUAGGAUUGUAAAAUUCUUUCACCGGGGACGAUAAUGACGGUACCCGGAGAAGAAGCCCCGGCUAACUUCGU